AGUUAUAGGUUGAAAGCAGAUAGAGGCAGUUCAGGCAGUGGUCCGAUGUUCGGCGCAGGAGGUACGAAAAGAAAAUCCAAGUGUGAUAAGAUGGCGUCACGCACGUCAGAUCUAGGGAAGAAGUGAGGGGUAGAGGAAAGACAGGAAGGAGGCAGGCCAGGCGAACGUCGCCAGGGGACUGCGGUGUGUGACAGAGAGUGUGAAUACGGGUGCUGUCAUGUCUUCUUCGGACCUUAAGAACGGCUACGUUUCGAGCACGGUAAAAUCUUGUGCACAAUUCAUCGUUUAAUAAUAUCAUCAAUGCCUUUGUCCGGCAAUAAGAAUCGUUCUAGUUCUAACGCGAUCGUCUCAACGAUACGAAGAAGACAGAGUUAAUAUAGCGGCAGUCAAUUUUUGUAGUGUUCGAGAAAGAACAAACGUGCAACGAUAAUCGGCUAAAAGGUACUCGAGAGAGAGAGAACCUUCCUCUCGGUCCUGGACACGUCGAGGAGGAGGAGGAGACGGAGGAGACGGAGGCGAACUGCCAAAGAGAUGCGCGAGUUCAAGGUAGUCGUCCUCGGCUCGGGCGGGGUAGGCAAGAGUGCACUUACUGUGCAAUUUGUUUCGGGAUGUUUUAUGGAGAAGUACGAUCCGACGAUCGAGGACUUUUAUCGGAAGGAGAUCGAAGUGGACAACUCGCCGUGUGUACUCGAGAUCCUCGAUACCGCCGGUACCGAACAGUUCGCGAGUAUGCGCGAUCUAUACAUAAAGAACGGCCAAGGAUUCGUCGUAGUUUAUAGUCUGACGAAUCAUCAGACUUUCCAAGAUAUCAAGGCGAUGAAGGAAUUGAUAACGCGCGUUAAAGGUACCGAAAGGGUACCUGUAUUACUCGUCGCGAACAAGCUUGAUCUCGAGCAUCAACGCGAAGUGGAUACCGCCGAGGGUAACGCUCUGGCGCAACUCUGGGGUUGCCCAUUCGUCGAAGCAUCUGCAAAACAUCGCACGAAUGUGAACGACGUGUUCGCGGAAAUCGUACGCGAGAUGAACGUCAGCCCUGAGAAAGAGAAGAAAAGCUACUGUUGUUGCAGCAUCCUCUAAUAAUUAAUCAAAAUCCUGAACCGUGGGCUAAUUGAGCCAUGCUAGGUGAAGGAAAUGCAUAUAGUGGCUGGAUCGCAGUACACUUGGUGAAAAUUUCAUUCAUCCAGUGGCUACGCUCUCUCUCUUAGGCUCAAUGUUGGGCUUGUGCUGUGAAUUCGCCAAUCUGUAAGACUAAUAUUAUGAUUGUAAUGCCUGGAUUUUUGUGAAUUCAAAGUAAGUCAAAGACUCAUGCCGUCUCUCUUGGUUCUUUUUCUAUUGGAAAAUCGUAGCCUGCUAUUUGGCUGGCUGUUAAAUAUUUUAAUAUACAUGGAUAGUAUUAUGUGUAAUAUUAUUGUAAUAUAUAAUAGUAGAUAUAAGUGGGCAAUGAAAGAGGUAACUCCGUCAGCAAAGGACCAAUACUCGAGAGAGAAAGAAUGAGAAAAGGGAAUAGCAAAUGGAAUAGGAAAGGACACAGAUACCAUCGAGGGUGAUAACAGAACUGCCCUGCAGUAGUUGUUACUUGUUAACAGCAAAACCAAACUCGAUACGUCUAGCUUUCUGCUCAAUCUAAAAGAUACACCCAUAUUGAAGGAAUCACUGUGAUGGUCAGCCAUUUGAAAUAUUAAAAAGAAUUGGAAACAUUAGAAUAAAUGUUGUUUACAAUGUACAGUCAAGAAUUGGAAAGAAGAUAGGUUGUUUUAGAUACAUUGUGCAAUGAUUUCCAUUAAUGAUAUGUUACCUAUGCUCAAUGUCAGAGGCUGCAGUACAUUAUAUAGAUGGCUUGAAUGGUGUGUCGUUAAUGGUACUGGUAUUGAUUGUACAGUUCCAAUAUUAGAAAUACAUUUUAUUGAGGUGAAUAUGAUGGAGUAUUGAGAAUGGUCACUAAUGAAUAGAAUUUUAUAUUUAAGACCAGAAUAUAAAUAUCAAAAAGAUACCAUAGUAUACCAGAUAUUGUGCGUAUUCUUAUUUCAAUAAGAAUUACCUUGAUCAGAAUGAAAACUGAAAGCUUGACACCCAGUGCUUUAAUUGAUCAAAGCAUGAAAUGAAAAGGAACAAAAGAAAAGAAGAGGAAAGAAAAUUGCAGUAAUAUUACAGAAGGACAGUAGUGCAUAACAUCAAUCAUAAACAUAAUUAUAGGAUUUACAUGGUAAAGUGUGUACGAUAGAAACAAAAAUACAAGAUCUUUAUACAAUUCAAAAAAGUUUUAUGGCCAAUUUGAAACAAAAGAAACCAGCAAGAGGAGAGAGGUGAGACUUUGAAAUGUUUUUUCACAAAGGCUUGCUGGUACAUUGAUCCCUUCAACUGCAAAAUACGUAUGUGGUACUCAUAAUAAUCAAUAUAUCCAUUGCUUUGUACGAACAAAAAAUCUCCUUUCAAAACUGGUUAUCAUUGAGUUCAUGAAUGUAAACAGAUAGAUGUAACAAAAAAGAAAAAAAAAAGAAGCAAUGGACUCCCUUAUAAGUAGUAGUAGGUCGUGUGUAAUUUUUCUCGUGUGAUCAAAAAAAAUCAUAUUAUCCGAUGUUAAAUACCGCUUUUAUACCAUAACAGUCAUUACAUUAGCUCGAUACAUUAUUAUUUAAUGCCACCAUCGAAGUCAUUAAUUUCCGUGUGAUCGCUGCAUAACGUACCUUAAUAAAAAAAAAAAAAUGAGGGUUGUUCAAUUUGAUUAUCUUCUCUUUUUUUCAUUUUUACAAAUUUUAAUGGGAGGAUAUUAAAUCCUGAUUUUAUAAAAACAAAUGAAAAUGUGAAUAUAUAGUUUGUAUAACAUCUACUUGUUCGUCUCAAUUAUCUGUCUUUCGGAUCGAUUACGAAUGUUGAAUUGUACACGACCGACAGCGCUUCCCGUAUUCGAACGUGUCGAAGGGCCGCGAUAUCAAACUGAAAAGUUUCAAACGAACUGAUGUACAGUAUUUCUAUCAUUGGUAGUUAGAGAGGACAAAAAAAAAAAACGAGUCCAACGAUAUAGAAUUCUUGGGAAGAGUUAUCGAUCGUACACUUAAUUCGUUCUCUCCAAUUGUCGGUGCACUUUUAGAAAUGUCGUUUCGUAGCGAAUAUGCGGGGCUGGAUGCUCUUCUUUCUAACAUCGCAAAGCAUUUAACUUUGUGCAUUAAUAACUAUUAUACAUGGUUCGGAAACUUCUAUGUUUUUUUUAAUUUCUCAUAUUAAGUUUAAUUAUACGUUUCAGGUUAGAUAAUUAUAUAUUAUAAGUUUAAACAGUUAUUUGUUAUUUUUUACAUUUUAGUCUCAUUCCAAAAUAUUAGUAUUUAUAAUUUGAUACUUUAGAAACCAUUAUACAUUAUAUAUGUAUAUGUAUAUGUAUAUGCAUUAGGGGAACGAAGUACUCAAAUACACAGUAGAGUAUAUAGAGGGAGAAUCCGAAGUAGCCUCGCGUAUUCGUCUAAUGAAGGGUGCUAAUACGUUUCGUCAGUUUAAGACUGGUGAAGCGUAUACCGACGUAGCGAAUCGGCCAUUUAAUAUAUUUCGUUAUUGUACUCAAAUAAUAUAAACACAGGCAAGGAAGAAAAAAGGGGGAAAAGUGAGUGGGAAGGGGGAACGGGAGGUGGCAACACAGAUAUAAUUAUUCGUAUCCUCUAUUUUAUCACUCGGAAAAUUCAUAGUCUCGCUGUGAUCCCGUAGAUUAUAACCGCAGUUUUUCUAUUAAAAGGCGACGAUAAUAACCGCGUAUAGAAGCCUUUCAACGGCGAAUCAAAGGGCCUCUUUGUGAAACGUGUAAUCGCUCUCGCUCUAUUAUCGUUACGUUUUUUCGCCCUCCUGGGUUUUUUGUGCUUCGCGAAAACCAUAGAUCGGCAAAGAGAAUAAUAAAAAACGAAAGAACGAAAAAAAGGAAAGAGAAAUGGUAGAGUGAGGGGUUGGACACAGGGGUGGGGGAAAAGUAAAGGACGCUCAUUGACUGCCCGCGGGAUAGCUUUCUAAGUACAUUAUAUACACACUAAAUGCACGAAAAAAAAAAACGGAAUAAAGGAAAAAAGAAGUUUCUAUAUUUGUAUCGCUUCUGAACGUACACGCACACGUUUCUCCGGCGUGGGAUCGCGUUUUAAGAAUAUUUUUCUAAAGAAUGCACUGAAAACUUUUGUACACGAGAAAGAGAAAAAAAUGAAGAGAAACCCAAAAAAACGGAAAAUGCAAAAAAAAGAUGAUAAAGUACUACUACUAAUAAUAAUGAUAAAAAAACUGUCCUCUUACUUGGAAAGCUAUCGAGCAUUAAGAAAAUACUAAAAAAAAAAAAGAAAUAGAAAAAGAAAAAAAAUCGAGCUUCGCCUGAGUGAGCAUAUCAAGUGUCAAGGACCAGGUACGUUUCGUUCCCUUGUUUCUCGGCCAGCAAAUAUUUUUUAGUAUUAUCUAUCGUUUCUUUUUUUUUUUAUUUCUUUUAUAACAAAAGUGAAAGAAGGAAAAAGAUUAGGAAAAAAGAAAGCACAAGAAUUCACCACCUAUAAAAAAACGAUUCGCAUACGAUUUUAUAAUUAGAUAUAAAUAAAUGAAUGAAUAAAUAAAUGAUAUAAAUAUAAAUAUAUAAAUAUAUAUAUAUAUAUACAUACAAUAUAUAUGUAUACAUGCAGAUUUGUUACGCAACUGGGUCACAUUAAUUCGAGAAACACCACGAUUUAGAUGUAUAUCGGCCUUUCAGUACUACCUGCGUAUGAUAUUGAGUACGAAAUACGUUAUAUUUUUUACAAUGUGAAGAAUCUGUAAAUAUUAUAGCGUCGAAUUAUAUAUAAUAAUAAUAUUAAUAAUAAUUAAUAAUAAUAUUAAUAUUAAUGAAGGAAAAAAAAUUUGAAGGAAUACUGAUCUGACAUUCGAAAAGACAACAAUGAGAAUGGCUUACAGUAAAAAAAUGUGCAUUUCAUUGACAAACAACCUUCGCGAGAUAUAGUUAUGUUCUUUGUUGUUUUAGCCCGUCUUUCUUUGGUUCGUUGUUCUUUGAUCGGAUUAACUAUACUGUUCGAGCGAUAAUAUCACUUGGGUAGACAAGAAACAGAUACUCGAGACCACUCGAUUGUAAACGACACCAUCCGCAAAAAUUGCUCGCUGGUAUUUCGAAUUCUCUUUUUUCUUUCUCCACCUGAGAUGUUUGUUAAUCGUGUCGAUAAAAGAAGCAGGAGAAAUAGGCAAAACGAAAACAUGCGUUAUUUUUUACCAGUGGCGAAAGAAAAAAAAGAAGUAAAACGUAAGAAUACGUACCACUCGUAUAUUUCCCUUUCUAAAAAUGCGAGUGAAAAUAAAGGAGUAUCUUUUUUUGUGACAAAAUAUUCUCAUUCUUGAUUUCGUUUUCACUUGUCAAAAAUCUACUUUCAAUUAUCAAACGUUGUAUUGUUGUAUUCCAUUUAUAUUACCAACAUAAGAAUCUAGUCACUAUAGAAAUCUUGUAACUCAAUGACAUGGAAAAAAUGUAUGGUUCUUAACUUGGAGAAAAUAAUGGUUUUAUUAUGAAAGGCAUGACUGUACUACCCUAUUGUCUAAUUAAUUAAAAGUCAAUUCUUUGUAUUGAAAUUAUUUUAAAUAUUAAUUUUUUGAUAUGGUCUAAAUAAUAUAGCAUGGAUCUAAUAUUUGUAGAUUAAAGAUAGAAAUUGUAAUUUAAUUUCAAAGACGAUAGGCUGAUACAGCAAUUUUGUCUCAUAUUGCAGACCAAUUUUUUUUCCAUGAAAGCAUUGAGACUAUCCAGAGGAAGCUACCCACUUGAUUUUUGCCUGUCUCAAUACUGGUGCACAUUUUUUCUUUGUAUGCAAUUUUUUCACAUUUUUUUAUUACUAACCAUUGUACUGGCAUUUUGGAAAUAUCGCACAAAUAUAAUAUAGAAUAAAAACAA